GGCUUAUUGUAUAUUUAUAUUAAGUCUUACCUGCUCAAUGAUAUUAAAUUAUUAAAUAGCCGCAGUAUUUUGACUGUGCAAAGGUAGCAUAAUCAUUUGUCUUUUAAUUGGGGACUUGUAUGAAUGGUUUGAUGAAAUAUUAACUUUAUUUAUAUAAAUACAAUUAAUUUAAUUUUUAAGUUAAAAAGCUUAAAUAUUUUUGUAGGACGAGAAGACCCUAUAGAAUUUUAUAUUUGUAAUAUAUAAUAUGUUAUUGGUUUUUAUUAAUAAAUAUAUAUUAAAAUAUUUUGUUGGGGUGACAGGGAAAUUUUUUUAACUUUCUUUAUAUUUUAUUUAUUUAUUUAUAUAUUAAUGAUCCUAUUUUAAGGAUAAUAAGAUUAAAUUACCUUAGGGAUAACAGCGUAAUUCUUUUGGAGAGUUCUUAUCGAUAAAGGAGUUUGCGACCUCGAUGUUGGAUUAAAAUAAGUAUUUAAGUGUAGGUGCUUAAUUACUAGGUCUGUUCGACCUUUAAAUUUUUACA
rnacentral:rRNA from 1 species